rnacentral:rRNA from 1 species
AACGUACGCUGGCGGCACGCCUAACACAUGCAAGUCGAACGAAGUAGCAAUACUUAGUGGCAAACGGGUGAGUAAUAUGUGGGAACCUGCCUUUUGGUUUGGAAUAACACGGGGAAACUUGUGCUAAUACCGAAUAAGCCUUUACAGGGAAAGCUUUAUGCUCCGAUUGAUGGGCCCACACUUGAUUAGUUAGUUGGUGAGGUAAUAGCUUACCAAGACGAUGAUCAAUAGCUGAUUUGAGAGGAUGAUCAGCCACAUUGGGACUGAGACACGGCCCAAACUCCUACGGUAUGCAGCAGUGAGGAAUCUUGCACAAUGGGGGAAACCCUGAUGCAGCGAUGCCGCGUGAGUGAAGAAGGCCCUUGGGUUGUAAAGCUCUUUCGUCGGGGAAGAAAAUGACUGUACCCGAAUAAGAAGGUCCGGCUAACUUCGUG